rnacentral:lncRNA from 1 species
GGGUUUCCUGCAGAAUUUGCCAUGUACUUAAAUUACUGUCGUGGGCUGCGCUUUGAGGAAGCUCCGGAUUACAUGUAUCUGAGGCAGCUGUUCCGCAUCCUCUUCAGGACCCUGAACCACCAGUAUGACUACACGUUUGAUUGGACGAUGUUAAAGCAGAAAGCAGCCCAGCAGGCAGCCUCUUCCAGUGGGCAGGGUCAGCAGGCCCAAACCCCCACAGGCAAGCAAACUGACAAAACCAAGAGUAACAUGAAAGGUUAGUAGCCAAGAACCAAGUGACGUUACAGGGAAAUUAAAUGCAAAUUGGAUAAUUCAUUCAGUUCUAACAGUGUUAGAUCAAGGAGGUGGUUUUAAAACAUAAAAUUUGGCUUCAUAUUUAAAAAAAAAAAGACGUCCUUGGAAAAUUUGACUACUAACUUUAAACCCAAAUGUCCUUGUUCAUAUAUAUGUAUAUGUAUAUGUAUUUAUAUAUACAUAUAUGUGUGUAUAUUAUAUCAUUUCUCUUGGGAUUUUGGGUCAUUUUUAACAACUGCAUCUUUUUUACUCAUUCAUUAACCCUUUUCCAAAAUAAACAUUUGGUGUUGGGAAUAUGGUAUUGCCAAUCAAUCCAAAAUCCUAGACCUAACACUUGUUGAUUUUUAAUAAAGAAUCUGGUUAGCCAUGGUAUUUUGACUUACUUUCAAACUAACAGUGUUAAGAUAUUUAAAUUUUUUGUUUGCAUGUUAAUGCUUUGGCAUUUAAUGGGAAAGGUGAACAUGAUCUCAGUUCCAGAGGUGAGUCUUGGCAUUGCCUUCAGCAUGUCUGUCUUCUCAGUUGCAGAGCACCUUGAUAAUUGGAAAUCUCAGUAUAGCUUCCGAAAUCAAAUUCUCUCUCUGCCAAUGAAAUAUGACAUUUCAAUUUCAGAAUGAUGUUUCUUAAGGGGAGCACUUUUAUUUAAAUGCUAAGGAACUUCUGGCACUAGGGUUCGGUGUGGAACCUGAAGCCUGCCUGCAGUUAGACUGUGUCGGUUGAAGAUAACUGAGGCAAAUGCCAUUCAACUGCUGGUCUGUCUUGCAUCUUGAGUGCUUCUGAGGAGUGGAACUGUUAGAGCACAGCGUCAUUCCUUGUUCCUGGUGCCUUAGAGUUCAACUCCUGUUUCCUUCCGUGUUACUGACUCCCUGUGGGGCUCACCUACUGAAACCUGCCUGCUUUGUGCAAGUGGUGGGCAGGUACUUGGGUUUUGAGUUUCUAACUAUUGAAUUUCUGAAAGACUGCUCUAGUCUGAACAUGGUUUUCAAAUAAUAGUAUUUGUUUUAUAUUUCAGUGUUAUAUUUAAAUGAUUCUUAAAUUUAAGAAUAGAUUCUAGAGCUGGGUGUAGUAGUACAGGCAGGCCUUUGAUCCCAACAUUUGGGAAGCAAAGGCAGACGGAUCUCUUACUUCAAAACUGGCCUGGUUGGGGCUGGGGAUUUAGCUCAGUGGUAGAGCGCUUACCUAGGAAGCGCAAGGCCCUGGGUUCGGUCCCCAGCUCCGAAAAAA